CCUACGGGAGGCAGCAGUAGGGAAUCUUCCACAAUGGACGAAAGUCUGAUGGAGCAACGCCGCGUGAGCGAUGAAGGCCUUCGGGUCGUAAAGCUCUGUUGUUAGGGACCAGAACAAGUACCGGAGUAAGCUGCCGGGUACCUUGACUGGUAGCCUAAUCCAGAAAGCCACGGCUAACUACGUGCCAGCAGCCGCGGUAAUACGUAGGUGGCAAGCGUUGUCCGGUAAUUAUUGGGCGUAAAGCGCGCGCAGGCGGUCCUUUAAGUCUGAUGUGAAAGCCCACGGCUCAACCGUGGAGGGUCAUUGGAAACUGGGGGACUUGAGUGCAGAAGAGGAAAGCGGAAUUCCACGUGUAGCGGUGAAAUGCGUAGAGAUGUGGAGGAACACCAGUGGCGAAGGCGGCUUUCUGGUCUGUAACUGACGCUGAGGCGCGAAAGCGUGGGGAGCAAACAGGAUUAGAUACCCUGGUAGUCCACGCCGUAAACGAUGAGUGAUAAGUGUUAGGGGGUUUCCGCCCCUUAGUGCUGCAGCUAACGCAUUAAGCACUCCGCCUGGGGAGUACGGCCGCAAGGCUGAAACUCAAAGGAAUUGACGGGAGGCCCGCACAAGCGGGUGGAGCAUGGUGAGUUAUAAUUUCGAAGCAACGCGAAGAACCUUAC
rnacentral:rRNA from 1 species